rnacentral:tRNA from 1 species
GCUGAGGUAACUCAGUGGUAGAGUGCUUGCCUAGCAUGUAUGAAGCCCUGAGUUCAAUUCUUCAGUA